GACAGAGGAUGCAAGCGUUAUCCGGAAUGAUUGGGCGUAAAGCGUGUGUAGGCGGACUUCUAAGUACCUUGUGAAAUCCCACGGCUCACCCGUGGAACUGCUUGGUAUACUGGUUGUCUUGAGCCUUCUAGGGGCGAGUGGAACAAAUGGUGGAGCGGUGAAAUGCGUAGAUAUCAUUUGGAACGCCAAUGGUGAAAACAACUCGCUGGGGAAGUGCUGACGCUGAGACACGAAAGCCAGGGGAGCGAACGGG
rnacentral:rRNA from 1 species